CGUUUUUGCGGCGUUUGCAGAUAGUAGCAGAGAAACCAUCAUACCCUACCCUUAGUAUAUAAGAAGAAGCAAGAAUAAGAAUGACAAUUGUAAUCUAUACAAUACUAAAAGUAACAUAUCCUCAAAGGAGAGAGUGUCCACGUCAUUAAAAUAAUCAUCCAAUCAUGAAGCUCUAUUGUGCUACGUCAAAUCGGCUCUACUUUACACAGUUUAAAUCUGGGCUAUUUUUGUGGGUUGCCAAUACAUUUCUAAUGGCCCAUAUCAAACCCAUCUCUCCUAUACCAAUUUUCGUCUGAACUCUGAAGGGUUGAUGGUUAAUCGUCUCCGACUCUUCCAUUUCGUCGUCACCGUUUCGGCUCUUUGUAAUUCGCCUUUACUGCGACCCACUUUUAUUAAUCAAUUAUGUUCGUUACUCCUUUCGUCUCCUUUUAUAUAGAGCUUUCAGUUCCUGGACAUGUUACCCAUCGGGUCUAGGGUUUCGAUCCAAUCCCAUCUAUGUUGAUUAAUUUGUCACCCAAAAAGAUUCAAUAACGCUUGGAAGUUCUUCUUGGAUUGCUCUUCCUCUUCUGGGAAAGUGGAAGGUCUACAGCUGUUUACCUAAAUGUCCCUCAGAGACACCUUCUAAAAUUAUGACCUGUUCACAAGAACCCAUCGAAAACAAAUCUAUUUGACAAUCAAGCAAGAUAAAGCACGGUAAGAAAUUCUCUACAGCCCACAAAAAUUAUUACCUGAUCCUGCCACUUAAAGUCACUUCCAGUGAGUUUUUCAAUGUCUGGGCUCACUUACAAAUGAAAAAAUAUAUAUAUAUGUGUGUUUGAAUUGUUUUUUGCUGCUGACGUAGUGAUUCCUAUUAUAACUGUUUUUGAUAUUGAGAUUGUUUUUGUGAUUGUGUUUGUCUCUGAGACACAAAGCUAACGUUUAAGUGAUUUGAACAUAUAUUUAGAAAGAAAGCAGUUGGGGGCAGUAAUAGCGAUAUCAACAACCUGGAUGGUUUAAUUGGUUUGCGAGGAGGUUUAUGAAAGAGGGAAAUAGAGAAUGAGCUAGAUCACCGGAGCUUGAGGAUCAGAAUCUUUCAGCUACGCCAUCUGUCCUGAAAAUGUGAUUGCAGCGUCAGUGGUGGUGAAAUCUGCUAUGAAGAAUGCAGGCCAUGGAAACAUGUCUUACACGUCGUCACUAAUCUUGGGGCGAUGCAGGUUAUGUUGAAGCUGAAGGAUUAUAAUGGAUCUCAUGUAGAAGGGUAAGCUUUGGAGGACUAUAUGUUUUUGAACUCUUCGUGUGUGCCUAUGUGAAGCCACUGGAGUCUCCUAAUCUUCAGAAUUUCUUUCUUGAGAACAAGCUCGAGAAUGCGCCGAAGGAUACCCUGAAGAUGUAGUUUAGAAAUUCACAAAAUUUUCCUAUUGAAGCACUUGACAUUCUCUUUACCUGAAGCUGAAGCUGAAGCUGCAUAGGAUACUUCUCUUGGACGAUGAUGUGGUUGUGCAGAAGGAUUUAACGGGGCAUUGGGAGAUUGAUAUGGACAGGAAAGUGAAUGGGGGCUGUAGAGACUUAUGCCGGUUUGUUCCAUUGGUAUGCUCAGUACAUGAACUUCUCGCAUCCUUUGAUUAAGAGAAGUUAAAUCCGACAGUAUGCGCAUAGGUUUAUGGAAUGAACUUCUCUGAUCCUGAUGCUUGGAGAAUAGAGAAGUACAUAGAAGAAUACCACUAUAUUCAAAAACUGCAGCCGACAAGAAUCUGCUUCUUUGUGUCUUAUUGGCUUUGUUGUUUGUUUUAUGAACUGGCCACGUGCUCACAGUUAUACCUUUUUGUUAGUCUUUCCGUAACGAUUUAAACAGCUUGAGAGGGGAAAGCUUCUGAAUGUGGAUCCAUACUUGGGGUUAAGAGAAGCAAACAUCACUUUCCCUACUGAAUCAUAAUUUUCUGAGUCUCUCAUAGUUUUACAGUUACAGUAUUAGGCUGUUGAGAAUGAUUAAAGCAUUACGAGAUCUUCACUUCUUACUAUAUAUGAUUUUGCGUUCUAUUUCAUUAGAAGUACAGUUCCUGAAGCAAAUUAAGUCUGAAAGAUUGUAAAAAUAACAGAUGUGUUUAUGGCUUUUGAUUAUGCUCAUUAAAUCGCAUUACAAUUUUUUUUUUAA